CGGAGGGUCCAAGCGUUAUCCGGAAUCAUUGGGUUUAAAGGGUCCGUAGGCGGUUUAGUAAGUCAGUGGUGAAAGCCCAUCGCUCAACGGUGGAACGGCCAUUGAUACUGCAAGACUUGAAUUAUUGGGAAGCAACUAGAAUAUGUAGUGUAGCGGUGAAAUGCUUAGAUAUUACAUGGAAUACCAAUUGCGAAGGCAGGUUGCUACCAAUACAUUGACGCUGAUGGACGAAAGCGUGGGGAGCGAACAGGAUUAGAUACCCUGGUAGUCCACGCCGUAAACGAUGGAUACUAGCUGUUCGGAGCAAUCUGAGUGGCUAAGCGAAAGUGAUAAGUAUCCCACCUGGGGAGUACGUUCGCAAGAAUG
rnacentral:rRNA from 1 species